rnacentral:tRNA from 1 species
GGCCUGUUCGGCCUGGGCUACAUCGUCACCGCCACCUUCCUGGUGGCGAUCGUGCGCGCCGGUGACGGCGGCCGGCUGUUCGAAUCCGCCGUCUGGCUG